GACCUGAGGGCACAAAAGCGUGCUGGGGGAGCAGCGGCGGGCAGGCAGCCCACGGGCCUGGGCUCGGCAGAAGCACUGCCCUGGGCACAAGGCCCUGAUGUGACCCUACAGACAUUUUUCAAUGUGCAACCUGGCUUUCUGUGCCAUGUGCUAGAGGCAACCGAUCCUCAUCUAUCUGUCGCGUUUUGAAGGUGCAAUUUCCUUCCUCAUGUGCAGUUAGCAAGAAUGGAAAAGUGGGAACAGAAGAGGAAUAUCUGGAAAACAUGAAAGGUACUCUGUUCAAAAUCAGCCUGGGAAUGAGAAAACUGCUUCUUCUACAUGUCUGUCACCCAAUAGAAAUGGAGCAAAAGGUCUGGCUUGCCAAAUUUUAUUUACUUUUUAAUUCUACAAUUGUUUGAAAGAAGCUUUCUUUGCAGUUUCCCUGUGUGAAAAGAGCUACGCAGUCUUGUCCCACUGGAUCUCUAACUGGAGUCAAUAGUCCUCACAGAAAUAAAGCUGAAGGAAGGAACGAAUUAGUGUGAUUGCAACAAACUGGCAAAAAACAGAAGAGUGGAGUUCUUAUUGUUGCUUAGACCAGAUCACAGAAGCCUGGCUUACAUCAGCUCUCUGCUCCUGGCUGCAUCUCACUCACCCUCACCUCCUCCCCCUCUCCUGCAGCAACAAAACCAUCUCUGGAGCUACGAGAACAGCACAUAUGGGGAAGAUCUAUCAGAAACCCCACCCAAGCUGUCAUGGAUGAAUGUCAACUGGAUACGAUUGGUUACAGUCAAUGAAAAUGCAUGGAAGGUAAUUUAACCAGUUCAUGGAGAGCAAUAAAGAACAAAGCUUUCCCUCCUACAAGUGACAUGCAUAAAAAGUCUUUGGAGCCAGGCCUCCUGCAUUCCCCUCUGCAUCAUGUGGCUGCAGGGGCAAGACUCCCCUUCUCCCACUUCUACCUUCACACUCACUCCUGCUGGUCUGUAUUUCCUCUGGUUGGCAGCACAGCGCUGCUGGGAUUUGGAGGGGGUACACACCAGGCUUCGGCGCCGGGGGGUGCACAUCACCACGUGGGAGAACAUGAAUUCAGGCUUCCCGCUCCCCGCCCAAAUCCCCUUGCCAGCAGGAUGCUGUGCAAAACUUGACCACGAGACCUUCUGCCCAUCACUUGCUUGGAAGAAAACCAGAAAUGCUUGUGGCAUCUUGGGCCUAGAUGCUUUUUGGGAGGUUUUCCCAGGCUGCUGCUGUAAUACUCUCAUACCUGCAACCCACCUAACCUACUUGCAAGUGCUCUUUGGAUCCUGUCCUUAUUAUCCGCAUGGCUUUUAUCACAUCAGUGGUCUUAUGCCCACUAAGCUUUGUCUUUUGUGAACAUGUAAGAUACAGAAGACAUUUUUACAGAGUAUAAUUAGUGUCAUCCAUCCAUGCCAGCAACUGCAGUGGCAUAAUUACUGUAAUAAAAAUCCCAUACUUGUUUCUAAUUUGAAUAUUGCCUAAUCUCUGACUUUAAAAUAGCAUAUUAUGACAUUUGGAGCACAAAUCACAAUUUUUGAACAUAGUGGUCUUCACAAUUAGCAUUUAUAAAGUGUUUCUACACACUCAUUGUUUUCGACCUACUCUGAAGGCUGCCUGAGAGCUGCAUAUUUCACUGUCAACAGUUCUGGAGAAAAUGUGCUCCUUUAUUUCUAAACCUGUCUGCUUCAGAAAGUUGGCAUGUGGAAUCCGGUGACUGUUUCACAGAUGUGGAGCGGGACCUCCCCAUCAGCCACCGGAUCUGACCAGAUGAAAUUCGUAACAUCUGCUGUUCCUAGUCAGACACAGCUUUCUGUUAUUCCAGCUGUUGCUGAGCAUGCAUUAAACAGUUCCAAUUAGUUAAAGCUCCUCCUAAUGUUACAGCAGCUUGUUUUUUGCUACAACUGAAGAAAUAUUUUUCAAACCUUAAGGAUUUAUUUGUAGCUGUGGUGUUGAUACACCCUCUAAUGGGCUUUCAGGUUUUAGGCCAAAACACCAGAAGCCACCAACUGCCAAUAAGAAUAACAAAUUGCAUAACAUCGUCCCUUUCCAGAAUUCAAGUAGUGCAAGCAGUGAAUUCCUUCUUCUGCACUUAGGAAGAAUGAAUAAUGGAAGCAUUAAGAUUGGAAACAGGCUGCCAUAAAUUAAGACAGAGAAAUCCAAACCUUUUGCCCUGGGUUCUAUUAGAUAAUGCUGUUUAUUAUUGGCUACUUUUAGCUGAUGCAUCUUGUGCUUCAGAUGCAUCCAGUUCCUACCAUCACUCAUCGUUGCAAUGCACAUGCAGGGCUCAUUUUAGCCACGCUGCGGUACUUUAAUUCAGGCGGCUGUGGAUUGGUGUGGGUUUAAAGCAAAGAUGACUGCUGGACCAGACCUUUUCAGCGAGGUAUCCCCAGCUCUAAUUCAGCGUGACACUCCCGCCCAGCACUUCACGGGGCUGCGGAGCUCUGCAGAGAACAUCUCCUGGAGGCUUUGCUGGUUAGAACCUGUGGCCAGCAGCACCAUAAAAACCAUGCCUCUGAUUUACAGGAACAUGAAGACUUUUAAUAAGGUCAUUUUUUCUUGUUAGCGUCUCUGUCAAGAGAAUGAGGCAUCAUAUUUUAAUAGCCAAUAUAUUUUGUUAAUUAUGGCAUUUCAUUAUUUUUCUUUGACCUUGUCAACAGUCAGCAUUCUGGUCAUGUAUAUAUAUUAAAUGCAUUAAUGUCCCUCUUUCUAAUGAUUCAAGCUGUCAAGCUGGGGUUGAAUAGUCAGGCAAUGGCUCUGUGGAAUAAUGAAAAGAUCAAAGCAGUGCCAUGAACUUCCCCAGUUCGUGGAGUAUAUGAGGCAUUCACUUUCCAAUAUUUCAUUCCUGUGACAACAGCUGGAGGAGGGCACCAGCCUCCUCUCUGCACAGAGACCUGCACAAAUGGCAGCAGCGUAAGCUCAAGCAGUUGUCACUGGCACUGCAACAAACAAAAGCAGCCAGCAAUAAAUGGCAGAGAGGCAUAAGGUUGGAGGAUAUUGCCUUCUGUGCAUUGUCAGGGAAAAGGGAACACUCCCCCUGAUGUGGGAGAGUGCUGAGAGCCAUGCAGGGACCUCUUACAACACAGCUGCAGGUCUAAAAUAGUUUUGCUACAGUCACUUAUCUUGUGCCCCUCUUCCUUUCUGUGUCCAGAUCCUCGCCUCCUUUGUUGACACCUGAAGCGAAGAAAAUCCCUGAGAAGUCUUAAUGCUGUUGUCCUUUUUUAUUUUUUUUAAUAGUACUUCUCUGAAAGUGCACUGGUUUGUGCGCUUUUUGUUUGAGAAUAUUUUCUCCUGAUGAUUCUUCAUCUUCCUUAUUUUUAUUUUGUUUCUUAACCUAGGAAAAUCAGUACCCCUUUGACAAAGUCUGAAGUUGUAGCUACUUGUCAAUAAUUUGUCAUUUGAUCCUUUGGUCAGUAUGGCUCAUUAUCUGUGUGGGAGAGGUGGUAUCUUCUGCCUUGUGUGAGUUACUAAGGGGAAAAAAGCCAAACACAUCUAGCAUCUGUUACGGUUUUCUUUCCAAGUGUUUGGGAUUCUAAAUAGCUAUCAGCACACAUUUUUCUGCAUUUUUUUUAGCAAGUAUAAACAGGAAAAUAAACACAUAAACCUGA